CCCGAUGCUUUGACUGUGGCCGCCUCUCCUCGCUCGAUCUGCCAUGUCUCUCUUCCUCCUUGCUCCCUCUGCCUCGUUCCUCUGCAGGUCACUUCGUUAGGUUCUCAUCCCCUCCUCUCUCCCUCCGCGUCGUCCCUCUGCAGGUCCACGCGCUCCUCCUGUCCACGCCAGGGAGUAUCUCUUUUCAGGUUCUCAUCCUCUUGCGUGCCCUUAUCCUCUUGCACACACACAGGUCUGACCUUUCACUGUUGCUUAUAGGGUCUCCAGAUCGGGCCCUUUGGCGGCCGCCCGCGCCAACGCUGUUGCCGCUUGUCCACGGCAGUCAGGGCGGAGCGAUAGGAUUUGUUCGCAAUUACCUGCAGCUGCAUUUGUGUCAUUUUCUGAUUUUGGCUUUCCAAUGACAUUUCCUUCUUUUAUUGUUUUGUUGUCAACCCUAGCCAAAGGACAGUCAAUACAUAACGUUAGAUGAUGGCCGGAGACUCUGCUUGGAGUGUCUGCAUAUUGCUAUUAUGGAGACCAAUGAAUGUCAGCCACUGUACAUUGAUAUUCAAGAAUUUUAUGAGGGUAUGAACAUGAAAGUAGAGCAACAAGCUCCCUUGCUUUUGGUUGAGCGACAAGCUUUAAAUGAAGCCAUGGAAGCAGAGAAAUCUGUGCACCACCUUCCUGAAACAAGAGGCCUCUGCCUAUCUGAGGAGCAGAUUGUCAGAACUAUAUUGAAAUGACCAAUUGGACCAGGCAACAGGCAACAGGCAACAGAAUCAUAGAUAUGAUCACAGGACCAUACAAACUCAUUAAACGGUGUGAAGUGACUGCAAUUCUUAUACUGUACGGGCUGCCAAGGUGAUUUUCUCUCUCAUUAUUUAACAAACUAAUUACAAUUGAUGUAGUUUCCCUUUGAUGAAGGUUGAUUCUACUACCAAUCUUGUUGCCGCUUGUCCACGACAGUCAGGGCGGAGCGAUAGGAUUUGUUCACAAUUACCUGACUGUGGCCUCGUCCACAGCUCCUGUGAAGCCAUCCGUGGACAAGACUGUAUAUUGGAGAUAUAUCCUCGCCAGUCCAAAGGGUGUUCCUUUUCUGAAUUUAUUACGCCACGACCUUAUCAGGCACAAUCUGUGGCAUUGAUAGGCACGCCAGCUGUUCGAGGGCAAGUACCAAGGCAGUAUCCUAACAAUACUCUUAUCAGACUAUAUGUGUGUGUUUCAAACUUUGACCCUUUCGUUAGAACAACGGACCACUUUGCCCGCAAAAUUACCAUUUGUUUUCAAUUCAAUUCCCACAGCUCUCUGUUUGUUGAUACAGAAAACAAUUAAACAUGAAAACUGACCACUUUGCCCACAAAUUACCAUUUGUUUUAAAUUCCCACAGAUUAAUAUUAUUUAGUGCCUAAGAUGCACUGGCUCUCUUAUGUGUUAUUAUGGUUCCGUAGUUACAUAUUGUUUGCCAUUCUUUGUUGUAUCAUGCAAUUCUUAACCUUGUUCAGACAUCCACGUCGAUUGGUUCAGUUUGACGAUAAAAGAACAUUCAUUGGACAAACUUUGCUCCACAUAUUCAAACUUCUAUAGCAUAAUUAGGAAACAUCAACUAAUUUCAUAUAUCUCUAGUUCUCUAUUGGUUUGUUCCAGUUUGUCUUUGAGAUAGCUGAACAUUCUCCGUUACUAUGAUGAUUCUCUUUUUGUAUUUUUUGGCCUGGUACCUAGCCAUUUACACUAUUGUGAUAUUGACAAUCCCACGUAUUUUUUUGUCUUGUUUCCAUAACACAAUUCGGGUUUUCAAUUAUUCCUACUCAGUACGUCACCGUCUCAAUAUGUGAAAAAAGAAAGGAAGACUUUUUACACGAUCAUUUUCGUUUUGGUAUUUUUCCCCAUUUGAGGCUGCUGCAUAGUACAUAUUAGGAGACUCUUUACACACGUUGUCACUUGGGCACAUCUGUACAUGUCUCUUUUUUACAAAGGGAAGAUGUGUUUUUUAUAAAUUGCAAUUUUGAUAGGUAGACAACCGAAUCUGUGGCGUAAUGGUAGCGCGUCUGACUCUAGAUCAGAAGGUUGAGUGUAUGAUUCACGUCGGGUUCAAAACGCUGAUCCUAAUCCGGCAUACUUUUGUCUUGAGAUUUUUUAUAUUAUUGUUUAAUAGAACCAUGUAUUUUUAGAAAGUUCUCCAUAUAAUAAAGUAAGUAAUUCUCUUGUUGGUUGCAGUUGGACCAACGUCUCUAGCUCUCGGCAUCAGAAGCAAAAAUCCAGAUUUUCUCAUCUAGCUAGAAGCUAAUGUGUGUGAUUUUUCAAGUGCUUUAACCAACCUUUUCUUAUGGUGACAUAUAAACCAAGAGUUAGUGGUCAUUAAUAAUUCAUGGUCUAUUGUGCUGGAAUGUUCUAAAUCUUAGAAUCUGAGUGAUCCCAACAAGCUUGUUACCCCCAAUACUCCUGCUCCAUAUAUUUGAUUACUCAAAACAUGAUAUGCUCAUCUGAAGUAGAAAGGGAAAUGCUGACUAUGCUCUUGCUGAAUAUUUUAUAGGACACUUUUCUAGUUUGGCAGAUGCGAGUGGAGGAUUUGAUGAGAUGCUUGCCUCUACACAGAGGUACUAUGUCUUUGGAGGCAAAGGUGGUGGGGAAACAAGCAUGGCGCCGUCGGUGAAGUUUGCCAACCAUGAUGAACUAACACUUCUUGCUUCCACAGAACCAUCUUGGUCACUACGUGAUUUGUUUGAACAAAUAUCUGAAAGCCUCAAUCACCUUGUCGAAAAAACUAUCUCUUUAGUAUCUUUUGUUUGAUGUCUUGUUUGUGUUGUUUACAGGACAUGAGUGAUGGCAAAACUGUAUGUCGCUGGAUUUGACUCUCUUUUUGCAAUUGAGGUAAGAUAUGCUAUGCUAGAUCUUUUGCCAUUCUUUGUACUAUCAUGAUUAAGCAUAUGCUGUCAGGAUGGGAAAUGAAAGCCUUGGAUUAUCUUCGGUAGUAGGUAACACAAAUGCUCUAUGUUGCAAUGAGCCUGUAGACUGUUGUUGCUGUGCAUCUCAACAGUUUUGGUCCUCCAACCUUGUUUGAAGUUUUUUCCUUUCAAUUACUCCCUCUUAUAAUUGCAUCAUGUUACAUGAUUUUGACGUUAAUAUAUAUACACCCAGGCCAUCUAAAUUCGAGUUCUUGUCAAAAUACACUUAGGUUCCCUUUUUAAUACAAAGUCGUGGUUUCUGUUAGAUCCAUCUAGUAUUUUUUUGGCUAUAUCAAAACCGACCUGCAAGCCUCAACUACUUUAAACCACUCUUUUUAGGAUCACUAUUUCACAUACUUGAAACCACAUAUGAAUUCCUGUUAUAUAUUAGGCACACUAUUUGACAGUUCUUAUGCACUUGCAUAAUGGCUAGCUUUCAGACCACACUAACAAAAAAGGUCUUUUCUAAAUUUGCCAUUGAAUGGCCGAAAUCCUAUUUUGAUGCAAAUGAGAAAUGAACAGCCUGUAAACUGUUGUUGUUCUCAACUGUUUCCUUCUUCCAACCUUUUUUGAAGUAUUAUUUUUUACUUUCAAUUACUCCCUCUUAUAAUUGCAUCAUGUUACACAAUGUUGGCGUCAAUAUGGAUAUACACUCAAAACAUCUAGAUUCGAAUUCUUGUCAAAGCACGCUUAGGUUUCUUUUUUGAAGAAAAAGUCGUCUGGUUUCUCUUAGAUCGAUCUAGUAUUUUUUUCCUACUAAUGUCAAUACCAACCAGCAAGCCUCUCCUACCUCACUCUUUUUAGGAUCGAUAUUUCACAUACUUUAAACACAUAUGAAAUUAUGUUAUACAUUAGGCACGCUAUUUUACAAUUCUUGUCCACUUACAGGAUGCUGACGAGCUUUCAGACCACCUUAACAAAAAAGUUCUGGCAUCACCAUCUAAGAAGUAUGUCUCAAAAAAAGAGCAGAGAAAAUGCAACCCAAGCGGCAAGUUGCUUCCUUUUUACACUAUGUACCAUAAUCCUUUCUAACAUUGCAGAACACAUACAUGAUCAAAGCUAGCAUGCUUCAAAAACAUCAAGCAGGUUCUACAGACCCGAAAAGCGAUGACAGGCACAUGGGCGUCAUUCUCCUGAAGGUGCGACAUCGUGUACACCCCUUCUCUGUACACAACUUCUAAUCAAGAAAAUUUACGCAUUGGCCUUCACUCUCCUUUAUAACCUUUGCGCAAAAAUAGAAUAGCUCACAAACUCUUUAACAACAACUAUUCUUUCCUUCUUUCUUUCUGUACAGAUAACUGCUUUGUGUAUCUACGACGAUCAUCGUCACUUUUGAAACGCAAUGUACAUGUAACCAAACUGAUGAAACUACUCUAGGUUAGUAUCUGUUUAUGCGAUCAUUGGCUCUGCUUUGCGUACCUCUGACGACCAUCGUCACUUUUGCGCACAUGCUUUUGUGUAUAUAUAACUAAGCUGAUGAAAUCUUACCAGUUUAGCAUCUGUUUAUUGUGA